AACACAUGCAAGUCGAGGGGCAGCAUGGUCUUAGCUUGCUAAGGCCGAUGGCGACCGGCGCACGGGUGAGUAACACGUAUCCAACCUGCCGUCUACUCUUGGACAGCCUUCUGAAAGGAAGAUUAAUACAAGAUGGCAUCAUGAGUCCGCAUGUUCACAUGAUUAAAGGUAUUCCGGUAGACGAUGGGGAUGCGUUCCAUUAGAUAGUAGGCGGGGUAACGGCCCACCUAGUCUUCGAUGGAUAGGGGUUCUGAGAGGAAGGUCCCCCACAUUGGAACUGAGACACGGUCCAAACUCCUACGGGAGGCAGCAGUGAGGAAUAUUGGUCAAUGGGCGAGAGCCUGAACCAGCCAAGUAGCGUGAAGGAUGACUGCCCUAUGGGUUGUAAACUUCUUUUAUAAAGGAAUAAAGUCGGGUAUGGAUACCCGUUUGCAUGUACUUUAUGAAUAAGGAUCGGCUAACUCCGUGCCAGCAGCCGCGGUAAUACGGAGGAUCCGAGCGUUAUCCGGAUUUAUUGGGUUUAAAGGGAGCGUAGAUGGAUGUUUAAGUCAGUUGUGAAAGUUUGCGGCUCAACCGUAAAAUUGCAGUUGAUACUGGAUAUCUUGAGUGCAGUUGAGGCAGGCGGAAUUCGUGGUGUAGCGGUGAAAUGCUUAGAUAUCACGAAGAACUCCGAUUGCGAAGGCAGCCUGCUAAGCUGCAACUGACAUUGAGGCUCGAAAGUGUGGGUAUCAAACAGGA
rnacentral:rRNA from 1 species